rnacentral:rRNA from 1 species
CAGUAGCCACGGUAAUACGAAGGGUGCAAGCGUUAAUCGGAAUUACUGGGCGUAAAGCGUGCGUAGGCGGUGAGGUAAGUCUGCUGUGAAAUCCCCGGGCUCAACCUGGGAAUGGCAGUGGAUACUGGCUCGCUAGAGUGUGUCAGAGGAUGGUGGAAUUCCCGGUGUAGCGGUGAAAUGCGUAGAGAUCGGGAGGAACAUCAGUGGCGAAGGCGGCCAUCUGGGACAACACUGACGCUGAGGCACGAAAGCGUGGGGAGCAAACAGGAUUAGAUACCCCAGUAGUCCCUGUCUCUUAUAC